rnacentral:rRNA from 1 species
AUUGAACGCUGGCGGCAGGCCUAACACAUGCAAGUCGAGCGGAGCGGCGGACGGGUGCGUAAUGCCUAGGAAUCUGCCUGGUAGUGGGGGAUAACGUCCGGUAACGGGCGCUAAUACCGCAUACUAUCAGAUGAGCCUAGGUCGGAUUAGCUAGUUGGGGGGGUAAAGGCCUACGAAGGCGACGAUCCGUAACUGGUCGGAGAGGAUGAUCAGUCAAACGGGAACUGAGACACGGGCCAGACUCCUACGGGAGGCAGCAGUGGGGAAUAUUGGGCAAUGGGCUAAAGCCUGAUCCAGCCAUGCCGCGUGAGUGAAGAAGGUCUUCGGAUUGUAAAGCACUUUAAGUUGAGAGGCGUUACCAACAGAAUAAGCACCGGCUAACUUCGUGCCAGCAGCCGCGGUAAUUC